CCGCAUUCGGAGAUCGCCCACGUAGGACACUUCCAUAGGUAUUAAAUAAUUGAAUUCACCCACGCCGCGCCGCGCCGCGCCGCUUCGCGUUGGCGAGUUAUUCACUCACGUAAGACACUGCCUUAGGGUUCCGUAUCCAACUAGGAACCCUUAUACUCGUAGUUUCACCAUGUCCGGCUGUCCGUCCGUCCGCGGCUUUGCUGCCGUGAUCGUUAGUGCUGGAAAGCUGCAAUUGGCUGCAACGCCAAUAAGAACUUAAAUAAUGUCAGGAAAUAGUUACGUGACUUUUUGUACCAUCUGUCAUCCCCUUACAUUUUUCUUUUAUUUGGCGUGGCGUUGACGUACGAUUGUCAUCUUUACUAGGUUCCCUGAGCUCUUUUGGCAUAGCACGGUAGUAAAAUCGACUCGUGUCAAAAAAAUAGUACAUUCUUCAACGAGGGGGGUAAGUGAAAUAUUAAACACGAAGGUGAUAAUUCCCCACAGCUGCAGGCUGGAGGGAAUUAAAAGACCUGAGUUUGCAAUAUUCUUACCUCCGGAGUUACACAAAAUGUUUUUCAUCACACGGAAGAAACAACUAAAUUAUAAGCGAAAUCAUUCUUAAAUACGGUGACAUUUCAAACAUUCUCCGCCAUAUUGUCAUUCGUUGUCAUCGAAGGCACAAACCUAUCCAGCAUUCAACCACGAUUGAAAAUUAUGUGAAUAAAUUUUAAACGGCUAUUAAAUUAAUGAAAAUAAAUCUUUUUAAACAUAAACAAAAAUAUUAAAUUAGAAACGUCAGUAUUUAAAGAGUAAACCUACAUGGUUCGUAUGAAUUAGUGACAGAAUUGAAAAAAGCUAACUCCCUAGGGAGCUAUAGUUUCUUUUUUCACAAUCCAUAACUCCCACGGGAACAAUAUAGGACUUUGUCCUUUAGUACACCUGCAUGAAAUAAGAUAUUUUGCGAGCAAGUGUGAUGAAUAUAUUUUAACGUUCGUAAGUAUCUGACCCACAGACUUCACUGGUUUGGUCACCUGCUCAGAAUGGGAGAGGAUCGGGCUGUCAAGAGGGCGUUCUUGGGACGACCGACUGGUAGCCGUCUGGUGGGUCGGCUCAGGUGUCGCUGGGAAGACAGUGCUUCGCGUCAGUAGCUGGCAGGAAUUUGCGCAGGAUUAGGACACGUGGCACGCUCUCGUUUCGGAAGCCAAGAUUUUUUUUGGAUCACUGAGCCAAAAUAGUUAGUAAGUAGUUAGUCAAGUAUCUGGCAACGGUGACAACCCUACACGAAAAUGAGAAUUUGCUAAAUGGAUUACAAACCCGGAACCGACGGGUUUGAAUUAAUUAUGUUAUUGUUCUCAUAUUCGAGUUGGCUGACGAUGAAAAUAUUGUUUUACAUACAUCAACCCUCGCUUGUGUGAGGGCCCGAGGGGAUCCACGAGGGAUAUUAUUAGCGUAGCUGCAUUGAAAGUAAUUAAAAUACUACGACAGCUAAACAUUAUAAUUAACUAUUGUUGAAAUGUAAUUUGAUAAUCCGCAGUGCGAAAAGCGGAAUAAAAAGGACGUCUACGUUUAUAAAAAACAUAGACCUAUUAUGACAUUUGGACUGUGUCAAUGUCAAUAAAUAUGAAGAGCCUGUUUCACAAUGUUCAAGUAAAAUCCUGAAUAAACCUUAAACUAUGGAGUGUGGAAUUAAGAGGAGUGGCAUCUCUUAUGGUAGAACUGUUGCAAAAGUGUCCAGCUGUCAGCUAUAAAUAAUAGUUCCAAAUCUCUCCAGAGUAGCGCUAAAGUAGCUAAGAACCUAGGCGUUAUUGACGGAGUGAAUUGUGAAUGUCUAUGAUUUGAUUUUUUUGUUCAAGUACUCUAGGUAUUGUAGCGCCACCUAUUUAAAGUUUUUUGAUGACACUUUUUGGUACAUGGAGAUUUCGUUCCUUAUCUCCACCUUCCGUACCUUAAACCUUAUUUGACGAAUAAAGUCAACGUUGGCGUUUCACAAUCUGAGUCUGAGUCAAGUCGAGCGUUUUCGACUUAAAAUACAAAAGAGCGAUUGAACGUUAGUGAACUACAGAAAUAAGCAUCAUAAUGAGAAUAAAAUCAGAACAACUAAUCCCAGUUAUAGAGGUUUGUUUUAUCUCACUAAAAUAAAUAUAAAAUAGCCUUUUAUUUCUUGCGAAA